GUCAUCAGGUGUGGGGGAACUGGAGGUGUGAUGGGGACCUCGAAACCUAUGCUCAAGUGACUUGUCAUAUGGGUAAUUGGCCACCACAGCCCCGCCGUGCAUAUUGGCUGAGAGAACGAAGUUUAAGGAGCGAAUCCACUGGAUCACCGCCCGGGUCUCCGGUUCCACCUGUGAAGAGACAAGAAGUUGGCAGCCAAAGUGUGGCUGAGUUACCACAUGGCCCCUUGGAGAAUGCUGUCAGGAAGGGACCUGUGGGGCCAGGGUGUCCCAGUAAAACAGCCUCCCAGACAUGAGACCUGGAGCAACUAUGACCUCUGUGGUGAAGAUUUCAAAAUUAAGUAUAUGGAACCCCUUUCCAAAGUGAAAUAUGUGGAUUACAAUAUACAGAACAGAUGCGCUGAGUCACUUCUCCACCAUACAUCAGUAUAGAACAGAUGUGCUGACGGCACCAUCCGAGUGACUUCCAGCACUGCCCACACCCGUGGAAGCUGUAAUGCCAAGAGCUCUCACUAGUGGAACUGUGGACUUUAGAGUUUGGGGUCAGGUCAAGUUCUACUCCUGGUUAUUUGCCCAAGAGAAAUGAGACCUGCGUGAAAGUGAACAGCAGCCCUCCCAGAGGAAACACAGUUCAACCGUCCACACGAAAGGAUGUUGUUGGACAACAGAAAGGAACAAAGUGCUGUGGCACCUGGUGAUCCCGCUAGUCCCUGCUCAACUGCCAGAAGAGCUGAGCUUUGUGAGAUCCUAUCACCACAAACAAGCAAACAAACCAAAUACACGCAAAGCCACAGGAAUCAUCAGCUCUAGAGGGAGCUGUUCGGAAAUCCUCAGCUAUAAAGGUAAAAGAGUACCUCAGGUACACACAAGGCAGCACUUACCUUCUUCACCACUAGGAAGCACCAUUGCCGGGACAUUCACAGACAUCUGCAUUAUGGUGCAACCUUCACUUACCACAUCCACUUGGAACAUUUUAUCCUCCUCAGUGAAACUUGGUACCCAGUAAGGACCUGCUCCCGGCUCCCGGCUCCCGCUUCCCACCUGGUAGCCACUAGCCUAGUCUAUCUACUGCCUUAAGUACCUCACGUACUUAAGUGUAAUCAUGUUUGUCCUUUUGCAGCUGACUUGUUCUUUGAUGUCCUCAAGGUUCUUCUGUGCUGUAGUAUAUAUCAGAAUCUACUCCCUUUUAAAGACAGAAAGUAAUCAACCACAUGUAUGUGGUACAGUGUAUCUAUCUGUGUUUCUGCUGAUGAACAUUUCUGCUGCUUCCACCUUUUGCUAUUGGGAAUAAAGCUGCUGUGAGCA